UCGCCUGUUUAUCAAAAACAUAGUUUAGUGAAAAAUUAUACUAAAUGAAUUCUGCCCAGUGUUUUAAUAAAUGGCCGCAGUACCCUGACUGUGCUAAGGUAGCAUAAUCAAUUGGCUUUUAAUUGAAGUCUGGAAUGAAUGAAAUAAUGGAGGAAUGCUGUCUUAAAAGUAUUAAUUUAAAUUUAUUUAAAAGGUGAAAAUACCUUUUUUUAAAAAAAAGACGAGAAGACCCUAAGAAUUUUUAGAUUAAUUUUUGAAAAUUAAUCUUUUUGUUGGGGCGACAGAUUAGAAAACUAAACCUAAUUUUUUAAAUUGGCGAAUUUUUUAAGUAAUAAAAAAUUACCUUAGGGAUAACAGCAUAAUGUAAAAUUUUUUAUGUUUGUGACCUCGAUGUUGGACUAGGAACUUUAUGGCUAGCAGUCAGAAAAGAUUUAUUCUGUUCGAAUAAUUUAAUCCU
rnacentral:rRNA from 1 species